rnacentral:rRNA from 1 species
ACGCUAGCGGCAGGCCUAAUACAUGCAAGUCGAACGGCAGCGGGCCCUUCGGGAUGCCGGCGAGUGGCGGACGGGUGCGUAACGCGUAUGCAACCUACCCAUCACAGGGGGAUAGCCCGGGGAAACUCGGAUUAAUACCCCAUAAAGCAGGGGUUUCGCAUGGAACUAUUUGCUAAAGAUUUAUCGGUGAUGGAUGGGCAUGCGUCUGAUUAGUUAGUUGGUGAGGUAACGGCUCACCAAGGCGACGAUCAGUAGGGGGUCUGAGAGGAUGAUCCCCCACACUGGCACUGAGAUACGGGCCAGACUCCUACGGGAGGCAGCAGUAGGGAAUAUUGGUCAAUGGGCGAGAGCCUGAACCAGCCAUGCCGCGUGCAGGAAGACGGCCUUCUGGGUUGUAAACUGCUUUUCUACGGGAAUAAAAAGGUUCUGCGGGACAAAUUGCGUGUACCGUAGGAAUAAGCACCGGCUAACUCCGUGCCAGCAGCCGCGGUAAUACGGAGGGUGCAAGCGUUGUCCGGAUUUAUUGGGUUUAAAGGGUGCGUAGGCGGAUAAUUAAGUCAGGGGUGAAAGGCAUUGGCUCAACCAAUGAAUUGCCUUUGAUACUGGUUAUCUUAAGUUCAGUUGAGGUGGGCGGAAUUUAUGGUGUAGCGGUGAAAUGCAUAGAUACCAUAAAGAACACCGAUAGCGUAGGCAGCUCACUAAGCUGAAACUGACGCUGAGGCACGAAAGCAUGGGGAGCGAACAGGAUUAGAUACCCUGGUAGUCCAUGCUGUAAACGAUGAUCACUCGCUGUUGACCCUAGAUGGUCAGUGGCUUAGCGAAAGCGUUAAGUGAUCCACCUGG